UACGGAGGGUGCAAGCGUUAUCCGGAAUCAUUGGGCGUAAAGAGUCCGCAGGCGGCAUAGUAAGUUAGGUAUUAAAGACGGCAGCUCAACUGUCGCACUGUACCUGAUACUGCUAAGCUAGAGCCUUGGAGAGGUGCGUAGAAUUCUACAUGUAGGGGUAAAAUCCGUAGAUAUGUAGAGGAAUACCAAAAGCGAAGGCAGCGCACUGGCCAAGAGCCGACGCUCAUGGACGAAAGCGUGGGGAUCAAACAGG
rnacentral:rRNA from 1 species